GCGACGCCACGUGAGUGAGGAAGGCCUUCGGGUUGUAAAGCUCUGUCAGGAGUUAAGAAAUGUAAGUGUGCUAAUACCGCAUUUACUUGUCGAAAGCUCCAAAGGAAGCCACGGCUAACUCUGUGCCAGCAGCCGCGGUAAUACAGAGGUGGCGAGCGUUGUUCGGAAUUAUUGGGCGUAAAGAGCGUGUAGGUGGGUUUGUAAGUCAGAUGUGAAAGCCUUCUGUUCAACGGAAGAAUUGCAUCUGAAACUGCGAGUCUUGAGUGUAGGAGGGGAGAAUGGAACUUCUGGUGGAGCGGUGAAAUGCGUAGAUAUCAGAAGGAACGCCGGCGGCGAAAGCGAUUCUCUGGCCUAUUACCGACACUCAGUGCGCGAAAGCUAGGGGAGCAAACGGGAUUAGAUACCCCGGUAGUCCUAGCCGUAAACGAU
rnacentral:rRNA from 1 species